CUGAGCUACAACCAGCUGCAGGAUUCAGGAGUGAAGGAGCUGUGUGGUUUUCUAGAGAGUCCACACUGUCGACUGGAGACUCUGGGGUCAGACACCAUGUUCACACUGUAUAUUGUUAUUAAUAACUCAGGUGUGCUGGUGUCUUUAUACAUCAGUUGCGACCAUCUGACCAAAUGUGUUCAACUAGUUCAUGAACUCAACUCAGCACUUUCACAGACUGGACAGACGAGGAACUUCUGAUGGUUCAGAUCAGUGAUUGAAGACGUCGUCUGUGUUCACACAUACAAGGCUGCUGAUAGAAACAUGAGUGAGGACAAAACCACAGAGAUGCACAAGAGAGAAAAGUCCUUUAUUCUUUAUCCAUCAUAUGAUUCUCCACAUUGUGAACCUGCAGCUCUGAACAGACGAUCACACACUGGAUGAUUCCAGCAGGAACUUUUCUACUAAAGUCUCAUGUUUUAUUCUUUAUCCAGGUUGUGGAGCUGCAGGUUGUCAGAGAUCAGCUGUUCUUCUCUGGUCUCAGCUCUGAAGUCCAACCCCUCCCACCUGAGACAACUGGACCUGAGCCUCAACCAGCUGCAGGAUUCACUAGUGAAGGAGCUGUGUGGUUUUCUGGAGAGUCCAGACUGUCGACUGAAGACUCUGUGUUUCUCGCCCACGCCGGUGAGCGCGGCUCGCAGCUCCGAUGCCAGGACGAAGCCCUUCUGCUCCUUGUCCGCCAUCUUCAUGGCCUCCAGGAUCUCCUGCUCCGGCGCCUCCUGCUGGAGCUGCCGGUGCAUGACGCUCAGGAGGGUGGAGAAGUCCAGGUCUCCGGUCCGAUCUGCAGACAGAAGAGUGGAUGAGAUGAAGCUUUAUUGAUCUGUGGCGGAGAAACAAGGUGUCGUUGGACCUCGGAGGGGGUGGGGUUCGACCCGAGGCAUCGCAUCACUGUGAUCAGCUCCUGGGCCUCGAUCUUCCCUUUCCGCUGGCGAUCGUACAGAGAGAAACACUCCUUGAACUCUGCCACGACCACGACCACGACAACAACAACACAGUUAGUUCGGUUUGUGAGAUGAGCAGAACAAAGAGCAGCUCAAAGGUUCAGAUUAUUCACACUCUGGAUGAAUGUUUCUGAUCGUAACUCUGGUGAUGCUACGUUUCAUUUAGCAACAUCAUCAGUUCACAUUAGAAUUUUGUCCCAAAUCUUUGGUUUAUGACCAGAAACCUGCAGAACUCACGACGUUAGCAUCAGCGCUGCAUUCACAGCUAAUUAGCAUGUUGAGCUAAAACUGUGUUGAACUUGGUAAAUCAUCAUGAUCGCCCCCUGGGGGCCGGCUGCAGUAUAUACACCAUGUUAGCAUGCUAAUGUAAGCAUCCAUCUAACACAUACAAUGAAGUGAGGAUUUCCUGUUUGUUCUGUCGUAUCGAUAAUCUUAUCAGUUUUUAUGUGAGUCUCUGUGAACGUGCCUCUCGUCGACAGAUGCUCCGCUCACACACUGCAAAUGAAAUAUCUUUGUCGGUCGUACGAAACAUUGUGACGUUUACGUUUCACGACUAAGAGAAGCAGAGCGAGGAAUCUAUUCAUUGUCUAAAGGAAAAUCACCAGAUACUGUAAUAUUGUAUCAGUUGCAGACGCCGACACAGAACGUUCAUGUGAACACGGAGAGGAUGGAGCUGAUGAGCCACAGAAACAAACCAUGAACACUGAUGAGAAGGUUUCGUCUCCUUGAUACACUGAAGCUUCCUGUUUAAUCACAUCAGACGAAACAAGCGCUGCUUUGUCCGGAGGCAGACUCACGGAAACUCUGCUGCCUGAUGGUCCACUGACACGAGCAGGCAGCGCUAACUCACGACCUCAUUGUUCACAGUUUGAGUCUCACCGUUGAUCUGGUCCUGGCUCAGGAACUUCUCCUGCGAUCAAAGAGGGAAACAGCGUGAGUGAACGGAGGGAAAGCAAAGAGCAGGUGAACUCUGAGAGAAGAUGAUCUCACCAUCGUGGCUCCGUGUCCUCUGGGAUCUGAAGGCUGCCGCUCGCCUCAGGAACCUGAUCCACGCCGCUGUAAGAGGAAGCUGGUGGAGGAUCCUGGGAGCACUGAGGGGGCGGGACCGGCACAGUGUUGUGAACUUUGGUUCACACAUUCGUUUUCCCCAGAGGAUAACUCCUCCUGACGGACUGUCUCAAGGUUCAAUCAGCCAGAGAAUGAGAAUUAUUGCUCCUGUUACUGUCCAGUCUCAGAGUUUAUUCAAGAAAAACAUUUGAUUCCUGUAAGAAAGUCUUUUUUUAGUUAUGUAACGGACUAAAUGUGGAGUUCAUUGUGUCUAAUGUUGCUCCCACCAGACGACUGUAUAAAACUAGACGUAGUCACUGGGUCCAGGAAGUGAAGCCGAUAUCAAAAUGAAGAAUAUGUUGGUUUCAUAAACAAAUAAUCACUAAAUCUUUAUAACGUCAA